GAGCAGAGGAUGCAAGCGUUAUCCGGAAUGAUUGGGCGUAAAGGCGUCUGUAGGUGGCUUUUCAAGUCCGACCGUCAAAUCCCAGGGCUACAACCCUGGACAGGCCGGUGGGAAACUACCAAGCUGGAGUUAACGGUAGGGGCUAGGAGGGAAUUUCCGGUGGAGGCGGUGAAAAUUGGCAUUGAGAUCGGAAAGGAACAACCAACGGCGAAAGCAGCUCU
rnacentral:rRNA from 1 species